GACAGAGGGCGCGAGCGUUGUUCGGAAUCACUGGGCGUAAAGCGUGCGCAGGCGGACCAGGCAAGUCUGGAGUGAAAUCUCGCCGCUCAACGGCGAGGCUGCUUUGGAAACUGCGGGUCUGGAGACCGGUAGAGGCUGGUAGAAUUGCAGGUGUAGCGGUGGAAUGCGUAGAGAUCUGCAAGAAUACCCGUGGCGAAGGCGGCCAGCUGGGCCGGUUCUGACGCUGAGGUGCGAAAGCGUGGGGAGCAAACAGG
rnacentral:rRNA from 1 species